ACAGGCUGUUUCCCUGAAUAGUUUCCAUUUGUGGCUGGUUAAAUCCAUGGGUGCAGAACUCGAGGACUGAGGUCCCGCCGUACCUAGGAAAUGCCAUGUGCGAUGCACGCAGGUGUGAGUGGCCUGACGGCGUGUGGCCUGGCCCCUCACUACUGAAGAGUGCUAGUUACUGAUCUGAGGAUUCGAUGGAGACGGCCUGCCCUGUCUGCCCACCGAGCUUCUACCUCGUGUGCUGUACCCUGUUCUCAGCAGAGGAUCUGCAGUUGGCUUUUACCAGACUGAAAUCCUCCUCCCGAGCGGGUUGGUCCAGUGGCAGAUCCUGGCAUUAAAUGGCCCCUGUGUGAA